ensembl:lncRNA
AUGCAUUUAUGUCCCUGGGCCUCCUCUGGCCUGGUGGGAGAAUUCCUGGGAAUCACAGCUUUGACUAGCUCCCAGGGCAUUCUGCACCCACUGCUGUCGAGCACCCAGGCUGAGCCAGUGAGGAACUGGCUCCUUCACAGGAAUCUGUCAGGAAGAGGAAGCAGGGUAAGAGCUGGACUCAGGAAGGGGUGGAGGGUUGGUGCCCAGGUGCUAAGGUGGAGCUCUUAGCAGCCUCACCCAACCCGACUUCUUUCCUGCUGGGACAUGAGGUAUGGGGCUCCCUUCUUGGAGGACUGGACAGAAAACACAGACCUGGGGUGGGAGUGAUCUACCACAGGGCUACUGGAAGCCAGGCUGGCAGUCCCCUUAAAACAGACAAGCAGCCCAAAGCAUGGUUUCCUGGGUCCCACACCCUCAGCUCUGCUUUGAGCCAACAAAAGAAAAGAGUCUAUGAACAGGCAGAAACUUUUUGUUUGUUUUAAUUUUGAAAAGAAGUCCCAGUUUUCUCUUCAACUCUAUUCUUAGUUUUCAGGGACAGAGAAAAGUCUGUAGUAACAACAUCAACUGAACAUCAUCUGGUGACUUCCGGCUUUCAGGACAAAGACAUUUCCCAGGAGUUGUCCUGCCAGUCAGCGAGGACAACUCUCCAGGUACAGUCCAGUUCAAGGCGUCUGGGUUCACCCUGGCAAAGGGCUUGCGUGACAAAGCAUGAAGCACCGGACAGGUAGCCUAGGGCUCCUCAGCCUUGCAGAGCCUAAUUGAUACCCACCAGGCCUGUGCCAUUUAAGGGACCCUAACCAAGCAAACACUCAUCUUCCUGAUGUCCUCUGCUAUCCACUAGCCCCUCUGCACUCCUCUUAGCUUCUACUUCCAUGAAUCCAUAAUCAUCAAAAGGUACAGUGGCCUGGGCUACAGCGGAAGCUGUGGUUGGGCAGCCAUUGCAAGCUCACCUUUACCAACAUUGAGAAAAGAGAAACAAGGGAGGGGCAUGCGGCUCACCAGAGACAAUGAGAUGACCCCUUCCUCCCCGAGCUCAACUCCUAGUACCUACCUCAGGCAGGGUCCUCGUGUGAGAGGACGCUAAGGAAGCUGAAAGUUAAAGCUGCUCUCAACCUGGCCCCUUUCUGGCACGUGAGGAAAGCUUCCUAGAACUUUACAAAACACUAAGGUCACCAGGACCAUACAACCCCAAAGUUUUCUUCUAGAGCUGAGUAGACUGUACACUUUGUAAAAACAGGUAUGAGUAACAAGAGUGCCACACGCCCCCAGAAUCCCUGAGCCUCAGGUUCUCGUUUUCUCGAGACACCUUCUUCACCUCAAGCAGCCGUUGCUCCAUCAGCCUGCAUUUAACCCAACAUCUCAGCAGCAACACAUAGAACUAUAAAAUACAGCUUCCUUGUAGUAGACAUUUACCGUCUGAGACGCAACCAAGGCCUCCUCUCUCCUACAAAAAGACUCUAUAGGCCCAGGGUCCAGAUUCUUCCUCACAGAUAGUACUUCUCCAAUCCAUGGGUUCAGUGCUCCCGGACCAUCUACAGAAUCUAAGAGGAAACCCAAGCUUCACUACCUAGAUGGGCUCAAGGAGGGAACCAAGCCCCAGCAGAGAUGACUCAGUAGAGAAAGCCAGAGGCUGGCCAUGGCCCCGCACCUGUCUCCGUGGGCUGGUGCAGAAGAGCGGCACUUCCCCAUAGGAGCAGAGAGGUGCCCUCUCCCCGACCCCCAGCCCUUUAACCUCCUCUGGCUGGGCCAGUGAUGCCUGCUCCUAGUCUGUGGCCUGACUGGAAAUUGGCUGGGAUACUCUGGGAGGUGGGGAGAGGAUGGUAGGUCACUGACGACAGGCGGGACACCAAUGCGAUGCUGAGCCAGGAG